GUAGGGGUGCAAGCGUUGUUCGGAAUCACUGGGCGUAAAGGGCGUGUAGGCGGAGAAGUAAGCCAGAGGGUGAAAUCCCGGGGCUCAACCCCGGAGGGUCUUCUGGAACUGCUUUUCUUGAGAGGGUCAGAGGUUAGCGGAAUUCCUGGUGUAGCGGUGAAAUGCGUAGAUAUCAGGAGGAACACCGGAGGCGAAAGCGGCUAACUGGGGCCAAUCUGACGCUGAGGCGCGAAAGCAUGGGGAGCAAACGGGAUUAGAUACCCCGGUAGUCCAUGCCGUAAACGAUGGAUACUAGAUGUCUAGGGAAUCGACCCCCUGGGUGUCGCAGCUAACGCAUUAAGUAUCCCGCCUGGGGAGUACGGUCGCAAGACUA
rnacentral:rRNA from 1 species